GAACAUCAACCCCGAUGAGGCCGUCGCCUACGGUGCCGCUGUCCAGGCCGCCAUCCUGAGCGGCGAGGGCAACGAGAAGGUGCAGGACCUGCUUCUGCUGGACGUCACCCCUCUCUCCCUUGGCCUGGAGACCGCCGGAGGAGUGAUGACCGUGCUGAUCCCGAGGAACACCACCAUCCCCACCAAGAAGGAGCAGGUGUUCUCCACCUACUCGGACAACCAGCCUGGUGUCCUGAUCCAGGUGUACGAGGGCGAGAGGACACGGACCCGCGACAACAACCUGCUGGGCAAGUUCGAGCUCUCCGGCAUCCCCC
rnacentral:lncRNA from 1 species